rnacentral:rRNA from 1 species
AGUGGCGGACGGGUGAGUAACACGUAAGAAUUUGCCUUUAGGAGGGGGAUAACAGUUGGAAACGACUGCUAAUACCCCAUAUGCUUUCGAGUGAAAUGGAUUUAUUUCCGCCUAAAGAGAAGCUUGCGGCUGAUUAGCUUGUUGGUGAGGUAAUGGCUCACCAAGGCGACGAUCAUUAUCUGGUUUGAGAGGAUGAUCAGACACACUGGAACUGAGACACGGUCCAGACUCCUACGGGAGGCAGCAGUGGGGAAUUUUCCGCAAUGGGCGAAAGGCUGACGGAGCAAUACCGCGUGAGGGAUGACGGCCUAUGGGUUGUAAACCUCUUUUUUCAGGGAGGAAUCAAUGACGUGUACCUGAAGAAUAAGCAUCGGCUAACUCCGUGCCAGCAGCCGCGGUAAGACAGAGGAUGCAAGUGUUAUCCGGAAUCACUGGGCGUAAAGCGUCUGUAGGUGGUCAAAUAAGUUAACUGUUAAAUCUUGAAGCUCAACUUCAAAAUCGCAGUCGAAACUAUUAGACUAGAGUAUAGUAGGGGUAAAGGGAAUUUCCAGUGGAGCGGUGAAAUGCGUAGAUAUUGGAAAGAACACCGAUGGCGAAGGCACUUUACUGGGCUAUUACUAACACUCAGAGACGAAAGCUAGGGUAGCAAAUGGGAUUAGAUACCCCAGUAGUCCUAGCUGUAAACAAUGGAUACUAGAUG